rnacentral:rRNA from 1 species
UACGUAGGGGGCAAGCGUUGUCCGGAAUCAUUGGGCGUAAAGAGCGUGUAGGCGGCCCGAUAAGUCCGCUGUGAAAGUCCAGGGCUCAACCCUGGAAUGCCGGUGGAUACUGUCGGGCUCGAAUCCGGAAGAGGUGAGUGGAAUUCCUGGUGUAGCGGUGAAAUGACGCAGAUAUCAGGAGGAACACCAAUGGCGAAGGCAGCUCACUGGGACGGUAUUGACGCUGGAGACGCGAAAGCGUGGGGAGCAAACAGG